rfam:Felis catus isolate Cinnamon breed Abyssinian chromosome B3, whole genome shotgun sequence.
GCCUGGGUGGCUCAGUCGGUUGAGCGUCUGACUUUGGCUCAGGUCAUGAUCUCACAGCUCGUGAGUUCAAGCCCCGCGUCGGGCU